rnacentral:lncRNA from 1 species
AUUUCUGGAGGUUGUUCCUUUUGGUGUUUUUCUUGAUAAGCUUGGGACACAGUUGAUGAGAAGCAGUCAGGAAGUCUAGCAGAUAUGAAUAGGAAACCACUGGAAUAUAAGGCCAUUCUGUCAACUCAGAACAGACAGAUACCUACAGCUUCAUCACUGCCAGUAGCACACUGCUGGGUUGGCAUUUACUGAUCAAAAGAAACUUUGCCUGAAGAAUUUCCUCUGUCCAAAGAUAAAAGGAAUACAAUACUUUCAUGAUUCACAGAAAGGAAGAAAAAGAAACUGUGCUACUAAAGGAAUAUUUCCCAGCACAAGCUGAAAACAUCAGGCCUGUGGCAACAUCUUGGGGACUGGGAGUUUGAAAGUGUAUUUCAGAAAAAUUGCUUAAACCAUCCUGUAGAGGUGGUGCACUAGCAAGCUGUUCUAAGACAUUCUUCCAGCCCAGCAAAUGGACAUCAGCACCUUGCUGUUACAGCUGGCUCUUUGCCAGGGGAUCUGCAGUGCCAUGAAAACCCAUCUCUCAGAGAAUAUAACCCUGGCAGCUGCCCAGGAAGCAUCAUCUUCUUUCAUGACACAGACUGAAAUUAUGCUCAAAGCAGCACAAGGACUGGGUGACUAGAUGAGUUGUGCCUACACUCACUCUAGGUGCUCCAAUAGAUGCAGUGAUACAAUGCCUUUUUCAUAAAUGUGUGUAAGAUGUCGUUCCUGAUAAAAUCUGUUGCACCUAUGGGUGAAGGAAGUUGGCUUCCCCCUGGUGUAAUGUCCAUAGGCUCAGAAGACUGGAGUAUCAUUACUCCUGCUGCCCCCCAAAAAUCAUUCUAGUGCCAAACAUGACAAGAAGUGAUGCUUAUGGUACGUAACUGAACAAGAGAGGAAACCUCAGUAUGGAUUUACUACAACUCAUAUUUGAAAUCUACUUUUGAAAAGCCUUGGUACAUAUACUUCUCAAAUCAGGAAAUUUUUGCUGUUCAAGAUUGAAUUCUUAAUUCAGAUUUUCUUUGGAAAAACACACACAAGCUAAUGAAUUUUUUGUUUCUGGGUAUUAUUCAUGUCCAGUCAGACACAAGGACAUUUUGCACUCUGAUUCUGUUGCAUGGAUUUAAGAUUACCUGCUGCAAGCUUUCUCACAAUUAAGAUAAAACACACCUGGUCUACAUUAGUUGGCACAUUGCUAUCCAUUCGCCCACCAAUCCAGGAAUCCUUCUACGUGAAACAUAUUCAGCUUGGACAAAAAUCUUCAUAAGAAGAAAACAAAACUGAAGCCAUUUUUAGGGGCUUACCUCUCAGAUUUUACAUACAGCUAAAUGUCACACAGGUCACAUUUAGGAGUGUGCCUGAGAAAAAUCAUGUACCUCAGAAAACUUACUGUGGUCUCCAUGUCUCACAGAUAAUCUUUAUUCAGCAGAUCUGUUUCUUCAGACGAGAAUAAAAAUAGUAAUCAUACAGAAAUCCAAACCUAAACAGUGCUGCUCAAGGACAUGAUGUAGGAUAAACGGUGAUUUGUGAAACCCUACAUAAAUUUUACAUAUACACUUAAGUCUAAAACAUUAAAGACAUUGUCUUUAAUCCUUCCAGUAACAUAGGUGAACCUGUUUCUGAAGAAGUACACAGCCUUCACAAAGAUGUUUCUAAAGUCUCUACAGAGUCCACCAGAGCUGAGUCAACACAGAUAAGUGAAGAGGGCAUAAGAACACAGUCACGGUGAUAGUAAUUCAGAUAAAGGAUCCACACAAGCUAGUAUUCAUUUUCUAACAAUAGUCAUAACUGAACACACACAC